rnacentral:rRNA from 1 species
GACGAACGCUGGCGGCGUGCCUAAUACAUGCAAGUAGAACGCACAGUUUAUACCGUAGCUUGCUACACCAUAGACUGUGAGUUGCGAACGGGUGAGUAACGCGUAGGUAACCUGCCUGGUAGCGGGGGAUAACUAUUGGAAACGAUAGCUAAUACCGCAUAAUAUUGAUUAUUGCAUGAUAAUUGAUUGAAAGAUGCUAUUGCAUCACUACCAGAUGGACCUGCGUUGUAUUAGCUAGUAGGUGAGGUAACGGCUCACCUAGGCGACGAUACAUAGCCGACCUGAGAGGGUGAUCGGCCACACUGGGACUGAGACACGGCCCAGACUCCUACGGGAGGCAGCAGUAGGGAAUCUUCGGCAAUGGACGCAAGUCUGACCGAGCAACGCCGCGUGAGUGAAGAAGGUUUUCGGAUCGUAAAGCUCUGUUGUAAGAGAAGAACGGGUGUGAGAGUGGAAAGUUCACACUGUGACGGUAUCUUACCAGAAAGGGACGGCUAACUACGUG